rnacentral:lncRNA from 1 species
UAUAUUAUACAAUUUGUUAUAACAAUAAGCCUUAUGUCUCAAACUGUAGAAAUAAAUUAUUUCAAGCUUCAUGGACACAUGAGGACUCGUUGCAUACCGGUUACUUUAGUUGAAAUCAAGUCACUAUGAGCAGAAUUAUGGUUUUUGAACAACGCCAAUCCAACAUAUCAGACCAACUUUGAGCGACCCUAGAAUGGCCAAGGUUAGUUACCAAACCUUAAUAUUUCACAAACUCUCUUAUUUCAUAUAGAAAAGCCAGUUCACCGAAAAUCAUCAAAAUCAGUGAUGGUUAAGUCGUGAAUUACAAAAAAGUGGGUACACUUGACGUGGAAUGACCCAGUAAUAACUAAAAAUAAAAUGCUUUUUUGAGCUUAAAACAAAAUAUACCUUAAACAUAAAAUAUUAUAAAAGGAAAUUAUUUAUAUUUAGAAAACUUAAAAUAAUACAUAAAUUACUUCAAAACUUGCAAUAAAAAUAAAUUAGAAUAGUUUAAAAAU